rnacentral:rRNA from 1 species
GAUGAACGCUGGCGGCGUGCUUAACACAUGCAAGUCGAACGAUGAAGCCCAGCUUGCUGGGUGGAUUAGUGGCGAACGGGUGAGUAACACGUGAGUAACCUGCCCUUAACUCUGGGAUAAGCCUGGGAAACUGGGUCUAAUACCGGAUAGGAGCGUCCACCGCAUGGUGGGUGUUGGAAAGAUUUAUCGGUUUUGGAUGGACUCGCGGCCUAUCAGCUUGUUGGUGAGGUAAUGGCUCACCAAGGCGACGGCGGGUAGCCGGCCUGGGAGGGUGACCGGCCACACUGGGACUGAGACACGGCGCAGACUCCUACGGGAGGCAGCAGUGGGGAAUAUUGCACAGUGGGCGCAAGCCUGAUGCAGCGACGCCGCGUGAGGGAUGACGGCCUUCGGGUUGUAAACCUCUUUCAGUAGGGAAGAAGCGAAAGUGACGGUACCUGCAGAAGAAGCACCGGCUAACUACGUG